rnacentral:rRNA from 1 species
CCGGGAAGAUUCCAACGAACCACUCACACACACUAUAUAGAGGUCACAAGAACAAGCCUACUGAACGUCCUCAAGAAGAAGCAGAAGCUUUUAGCCGGCAGCACCAUGGAGUUGCUUCUUCUUCUUCUUCUUCUUCUUCUUCUCGCAUGCUCUCUCAUCUUCCCUCUUGCCGCUCCUGCCAGGGAGAUCACCAACGCCUGCACCUCACAAGCUAAUGUUUUUCAGCACGUGAACGGCACCGGCAUGCACCUGCCGCUGCACCACCCGCAGAGCCCCUGCUCGCCGGCGCCUCUGCCCUCGGACCUCCCCUUCUCCGCUGUGAUCGCCCACGACGAGGCGCGCAUCGCCCGCCUCGCCUCGCGCCUUGCCAAGACUCCCUCCCGCCACCCGACGUCGCUCCGCCAACAGCACCUCGAGAAGUCCUCCGGCGAUAACCACCUCGCCGACUCACUGGCCAGCUCGGUGCCGCUCGCGCCCGGCACGUCGGUCGGCGUGGGCAACUACGUCACCCAGCUGGGCCUCGGCACGCCGGCGACCACCUACGCCAUGGUCGUCGACACGGGGUCGUCGCUCACGUGGCUCCAGUGCUCCCCCUGCGUGGUGUCGUGCCACCGGCAGGCCGGCCCGCUCUACAACCCGCGCGCGUCCAGCACGUACGCCGCCGUGCCGUGCUCGGCGCCGCAGUGCGGGGAGCUGCAGGCCGCCACGCUCAACCCGUCUUCGUGCUCCGCCUCCGGCGUCUGCAUCUACCAGGCAACCUACGGCGACAGCUCCUUCUCCCUGGGGUACCUCAGCAGGGACACCGUCUCCUUUGGCUCCGGCAGGUUCCCCGGCUUCUACUACGGCUGCGGCCAGGACAACGAGGGCCUCUUCGGCCGGUCGGCCGGGCUCAUCGGCCUCGCGCGCAACAAGCUGUCGCUGCUCUACCAGCUCGCGCCGAGCCUCGGCGACUCCUUCUCCUACUGCCUGCCGACCACGGCGUCCACCGGGUACCUGUCCAUCGGGUCGUACAACCCGGCGGAGUACUCGUACACGCCCAUGGUGUCCAGCUCGCUCGACGCCUCGCUCUACUUCGUCAGCCUCGCUAGCAUGUCCGUCGCCGGGAGCCCGCUCGCCGUGUCGCCCUCGGAGUACGGCAGCCAGCCGACGAUCAUCGACUCCGGCACUGUGAUCACGCGCCUGCCCAUGGCCGUGUACACGGCGCUGAGCAAGGCGUUGGGCGCGGCCAUGGGAGGGGCGCCCCGCGCGCCGGCGUACUCCAUCCUGGACACGUGCUUCAAGGGCCAGGUGUCAACGCUGCGCGUGCCGGCCGUGGACAUGGCGUUCGCCGGCGGCGCGACGCUGAAGCUGGCGCCGGGCAAUGUGCUGAUCGACGUGGACGAGUCCACGACGUGCCUCGCGUUCGCGGCCACCGACAGCACAGCGAUCAUCGGGAACACGCAGCAGCAGACGUUCGGCGUCGUCUACGACGUCGCGCAGUCCAGGAUCGGCUUCGCGGCCGGCGGCUGCAGCUGAAGAAUGGCUGAAAUGAACCGCACCUGCAUCGCAUGCAUGGACCCAACUAGGUAAAUCUGCAACCAGAGCACGCCAAGGUACUUGCAAAUUACAAUUACACCAAAGAAGAUAAACAAUGUCAUAAAGCACUGAUGGAUGUGAAAUAGUACUGUGUCAAACACAGGCAGGGCAACUGCAGUGUUUGCUCUUCUUCUGUCUGUACAAGUGCUUCAACCACUGUAUGUAUUGUAAAUGUACAAAAGUAUUGCAAUGGCCUAAAGAUUUGGGAUAUGAUACAC